rnacentral:rRNA from 1 species
GACGAACGCUGGCGGCGUGCCUAAUACAUGCAAGUAGAACGCUGAAGGAGGAGCUUGCUUCUCUGGAUGAGUUGCGAACGGGUGAGUAACGCGUAGGUAACCUGCCUGGUAGCGGGGGAUAACUAUUGGAAACGAUAGCUAAUACCGCAUAAGAGUAGAUGUUGCAUGACAUUUGCUUAAAAGGUGCAAUUGCAUCACUACCAGAUGGACCUGCGUUGUAUUAUCUAGUUGGUGGGGUAACGGCUCACCAAGGCGACGGUACAUAGCCGACCUGAGAGGGUGGACGGCCACAAUUGGACUGGAACAACGCCCAGGCCGCUACGGGGAGCAAGCGUAGGGAAUUUUCGGAAAUGGGCGGAAGGCUGGCCGAAGAACGACGCGGGAGUGGAGAAGGUUUUCCGAGCGGAAAGGUCUGUUGGUAGAGAAGAACGAGUGGGAGAGUAGAAAGUUCACGCUGUGACGGUACCUUACCAAAAAGGGACGGCUAACUACGUG